rnacentral:rRNA from 1 species
GACGAACGCUGGCGGCGUGCUUAACACAUGCAAGUCGAACGCAGUGGCGAACGGGCGAGUAACGCGUAUUCAACCUGCCCUUCAGAGGGGGACAACAGUUGGAAACGACUGCUAAUACCGCAUACUGAAGGAGGGGAUUGCGUCUGUUUGGCUAGUUGGAGGGGUGACGGCCCACCAAGGCGAUGAUCGGUAGCCGGUCUGAAAAGAUGAACGGCCACAAUGGAGCUUGGACACGGCCCAGACGACGACGGGAGGCAGCAGGGGGGAAUCUUCCGCAAUGGACGAAAGGCUGACGGAGCAACGCCGCGUGAGUGAUGACGGCCUUCGGGUUGUAAAGCUCUGUUAAUCGGGACGCGGUACCGGAAUAGAAAGCCACGGCUAACUACGUGCCAGCAGCCGCGGUAAUUC